AUGCAUGGAAUUGUUCUCAAGUCCCGGUGCUGGGGUGAUUUUUUUGUUAGGGGAGAGCCAAGAUGUCCCCCAGAGACACACACAAAAAAAUGUCACAGUCACUAACUGUCUUCUGCAUGUGUUUUCUUCCAAGGGGUGAAACACACUACAGGGAUAGACCGAGUCAGGAAAGAUAUGCCUGGCUGAGGUGGCCACAGUGGCUUACAAAAAUAUUCAAACGUGACACAAAAAAGGAAUACACUGAAGACAAACAUGUCAAGGAGUCCUCUGCAGAGGUGGAAAUUACCAUUCAGGAUAUAUCAAGGGAGGACAAGGAAGGAACGAUGAAAACAUCAGCCACUGAAGCAGAAGAGAGUGAAGCAGCUGAGGAUGCCGAAGGCUCAGAAUGAUCUGCUGUCAU
rnacentral:lncRNA from 1 species